AUCAUGGCUCAGAUUGAACGCUGGCGGCAGGCCUAACACAUGCAAGUCGAGCGGUAGAGAGGUGCUUGCACCUCUUGAGAGCGGCGGACGGGUGAGUAAUAUCUAGGAAUCUGCCUGGUAGUGGGGGAUAACGUUCGGAAACGGACGCUAAUACCGCAUACGUCCUACGGGAGAAAGCAGGGGACCUUCGGGCCUUGCGCUAUCAGAUGAGCCUAGAUCGGAUUAGCUAGUUGGUGAGGUAAUGGCUCACCAAGGCUACGAUCCGUAACUGGUCUGAGAGGAUGAUCAGUCACACUGGAACUGAGACACGGUCCAGACUCCUACGGGAGGCAGCAGUGGGGAAUAUUGGACAAUGGGCGAAAGCCUGAUCCAGCCAUGCCGCGUGUGUGAAGAAGGUCUUCGGAUUGUAAAGCACUUUAAGUUGGGAGGAAGGGCAGUUACCUAAUACGU
rnacentral:rRNA from 1 species